rnacentral:rRNA from 1 species
AUGAACGCUAGCGACAGGCCUAACACAUGCAAGUCGAGGGGCAGCACAAGGAGCAAUCUGAGGUGGCGACCGGCGCACGGGUGAGUAACACGUAUGCAACCUGCCUGUAAGCGGGGAAUAACCCGUUGAAAGACGGACUAAUACCGCAUAGUACUAAAUUACUGCAUGGUAAUUUAUUUAAACAUUUAUGGCUUACAGAUGGGCAUGCGCAUGAUUAGCUAGUUGGAGAGGUAACGGCUCCCCAAGGCAACGAUCAUUAGGGGUUCUGAGAGGAAGGUCCCCCACACUGGUACUGAGACACGGACCAGACUCCUACGGGAGGCAGCAGUGAGGAAUAUUGGUCAAUGGACGAGAGUCUGAACCAGCCAAGUCGCGUGCAGGAAGAAUGUCCCUAUGGAUUGUAAACUGCUUUUGCAGGGGAAUAAAGUGCAUCACGUGUGAUGUUUUGUAUGUACUCUGCGAAUAAGGAUCGGCUAACUCCGUGCCAGCCGCCGC